rnacentral:lncRNA from 1 species
AAUUAGAUCAUAUUUUGUGCAAUUUCUAAAAUCUGACAGAUCUUUUAUCUUCCAUUAAAACUGGCAUCAGAGAAUUGUACAAUAUAUGAUCCAAUAAUUAAGUUUAAAAAAAAAAGUCAAUCAUUCUUUCACGCCACAUGUGUGUAUAUAUAUAUAUAUAGAUUUGGUGAAAAAAAAUUAUACAUAUUUGUGAGUGCAGCUCCAAAUUAACUACCAUC